AAUAACUGGAGGGCUUAGCAAAC
rnacentral:piRNA from 1 species